UUGGCAACAGUUGAGCUGCACAUCCCAAAUAAUUGUGGAAAAAUGGAAUUAAAGAAAUCUGGAUCACCAAAUGCUUUUAUGACCUGGUCAAGAGAAGAGAAACCUGCUUCACGGUAUUUCUUCACCUUCUUUGUGCAUGCAGAAUAUACUAUAUCCAAAACUGCCUUAGGGGUGGCAGGAUUUUCGGAGGCGAUAGCUUUAUGGCAAGAUGUAGAAAGUGCACCUAUUGCAUCUAAAAGAGUAUCCUUUCCCUCCCAUAGUCGACCAGGAAUUUCCUUCAUAAGAGCUUCAAGCAGAACAUGGCAAUAAGAAGACAGUGAUUCACCCAAGACUUCACUAAGCUUACAAAUUGCCUGGGCUGACUUUCUUUUCCUUGCCCAAGAUGAUGACGCAAAGCCCUCACAAAUUAAAGAAACAAUUUCUCCCAGAUACAACUGAACAGUGAUCCUUUCACCACUCAUGCUGUCUUCCCACAACUCCUCAAAUAGCCCAGAAACAUACUUGUCAUGAUCAAAUCUAGAAAUAAAUAUAACUGGAAAAAUCACUGCAUGAUAUCCGCUCACAACAUCAGAUGCCACUGAUGAAUAGCUUUUCAAAAGGAUUGCACAUGAAAUUUGCACAUUCCCUUCCCCAAUAUGCAAAGCUGUAGUUUCUUCAAUUAACUUUUGAGCGUGCGAGGGACUUGCAUGCUUCAAAACCAUGGCACAAGAGCUUGCAAAAGCACGUUUUGCGACAGUACUCUUCUCCUCCGUCACAACUGGAAACAACAGCCUUAAUAGCAUACUUGCAAAUGGUUUUAUAUCUGUGCCAACUCUCUGAACCAAUAAGCUAAUAAAGUUGGCAACGCCAACCCUAGUGUUGAGGCCAACCCCUGAUCGAACCAAAUGAGCAAGACGAGGAACCAAUAGAUCUAGCGUUUCAGUGUUCACAACAUUUAUGCAUAGAUCAAGAGUUUCCCACAUUGGGGAGCCUUUUGCAAUUGAAAUCCGCAAAUUAUCGAGCUUCUCUGCCUGUAUCCCAAUGUUUGAAGCAUGCAACUCAACGUAAUUGAGCCCUUGGUCUUCAAGACUUGAUAAACUUUCAAGCAUGCAACAAACUAAAUCUGAUAAAUGUGGACGAAGUGCAAUUCCUGCACCCUUUGCAAGCUUCAUAACAACUCCAAUCGAAGCCUUACGAAUACUGUCAACUUUACUUAAUAUGCCUUCCAUAAGCAACAACGGCAGAGAAAUUUCCAUUGCUUUUCUGGUGUCUGAUAUGUCAGUAAGUGAGACAUCACAUAACCUUAUUGUUAAUGAAGAUACAGCACGGCAUAAUCUGUCACCAGCAUUUCGAACAGUUUCCUUUAUGUCAUCCAUGGCACGGAAUGCUGCUGUCCAUAUUUUCUUCAAAUGCUUCCCAACCUGUUCAAAUUUUCGUCCUUGGAUAAUAUCGGCAAGCGCAAGACAAGAAGCCUCACGUGAUCGCCAAAGCCUAGAUCCACAUUGUAUAGUCAAAUCAUCGAUGAUAAUGUCCAAGUGUUGAUCAAUAGUGUUCUUAGGGUCUGCCACUAGCGACUUCCAUAUGUGUGCCAUUGCAUCCUGUACAUUUUUAUCUGGAUCAUAUUGAUACCUAACUAGUCGCGGAAUCAAUAACCGUAAGUGAGGUUGGAGGGCAUCCCCAGCUUGCUUGGCUAUCUUUGAAAACCCAAAAGCAGCACCUCUCUUGGAAUUCAAAGAAGCUUGAUGAUUAGCCAAAUCCAUAAACUUAUAAAUUAAGUCUGGCUGACCCAUCUCAUUAGCUAGAUUGCAGAGCUCCUUGUAUGUGCUAAGCUUCCCUCCACUGUGACUUUCACCAAUGGCCCCCUCUUGAAACACCUCAGAGUCUUCAACUAGCUUGAUAGCUCUUUUCCUUUUCCCUGAACCAGUUAAAGUGGUUACAAGUGCAUCUACUAAGCUUUUCUUCAUUGAUUCAUCCCCAAGUUCAUAGACAAUACUCAUGCCCUGGGAUGCAAGUUCUUGUGUAAGUUCAUUCUGUUCACCUAGUAGAUGUGAAAAUGCAUCCUGAAUUUCUGGAAGCAUUUGUUGGAUGGUUGGGUGAUGGCCGCAAUACAUUGCCAGUGAUAAUAACCAAACAGUUCCAGCACAGCGCUCCUCUUUUCUGCUACUGUAUAAAAGAACAUCAAAAAGUUUUCUUGUAAUUGCAUCUCUAACUGUCGCAUGAAAGUCUUCACUAGCUUCACUUUUCCCAUUAAAGCUGCAUUUCGACAAAGAUAAGUUCACAUCUCCCAAAAGAAAGUUUGACAUCAUGGAAAG
rnacentral:misc_RNA from 1 species